GACGAACGCUGGCGGCGUGCUUAACACAUGCAAGUCGAACGAUGAAGCCGGAGCUUGCUCUGGUGAAUUAGUGGCGAACGGGUGAGUAACACGUGAGUAACCUGCCCUUGACUCUGGGAUAACUGCGGGAAACUGUAGCUAAUACCGGAUACGACCCUCGGAGGCAUCUCCUGGGGGUGGAAAGAAUUUCGGUCAGGGAUGGACUCGCGGCCUAUCAGCUAGUGGGUGAGGUAAAGGCGCACCAUGGCGACGACGGGUAGCCGGCCUGAGAGGGUGACCGGCCACACUGGGACUGAGACACUGCCCAGACUCCUACGGGAGGCAGCAGUGGGGAAUAUUGCACAAUGGGCGCAAGCCUGAUGUAGCAACGCCGCGUGAGGGAUGACGGCCUUCGGGUUGUAAACCUCUUUUAGUAGGGAAGAAGCGAAAGUGACGGUACCUGCAGAAAAAGCACCGGCUAACUACGUGCCAGCAGCCGCGGUAA
rnacentral:rRNA from 1 species